AUUGAACGCUGGCGGCAUGCCUUACACAUGCAAGUCGAACGGUAACAGGUCUUCGGAUGCUGACGAGUGGCGAACGGGUGAGUAAUACAUCGGAACGUGCCCGAUCGUGGGGGAUAACUACUCGAAAGAGUAGCUAAUACCGCAUACGAUCUACGGAUGAAAGCGGGGGAUCUUCGGACCUCGUGCGGACGGAGCGGCCGAUGGCAGAUUAGGUAGUUGGUGGGAUAAAAGCUUACCAAGCCGACGAUCUGUAGCUGGUCUGAGAGGACGACCAGCAACACUGGGACUGAGACACGGCCCAGACGCCUACGGGAGGCAGCAGUGGUGAAUUUUGGACAAUGGGCGAAAGCCUGAUCCAGCAAUGCCGCGUGCAGGAUGAAGGCCUUCGGGUUGUAAACUGCUUUUGUACGGAACGAAAAGACUCCUUCUAAUACAGGGGGUCCAUGACGGUACCGUAAGAAUAAGCACCGGCUAACUACGUGCCAGCCGCCGCCGUAAGAC
rnacentral:rRNA from 1 species